UACGAAGGGGGCUAGCGUUGCUCGGAAUCACUGGGCGUAAAGCGCACGUAGGCGGACUCUUAAGUCGGUGGUGAAAUCCUGGAGCUCAACUCCAGAACUGCCUUCGAUACUGAGAGUCUUGAGUCCGGGAGAGGUGAGUGGAACUGCGAGUGUAGAGGUGAAAUUCGUAGAUAUUAGGAAGAACACCAGUGGCGAAGGCGGCUCACUGGUCCGGAACUGACGCUGAGGUGCGAAAAGCGUGGGGAGCAAACAGG
rnacentral:rRNA from 1 species